rnacentral:rRNA from 1 species
UACGUAGGGGGCAAGCGUUGUCCGGAAUCAUUGGGCGUAAAGCGCGUGUAGGCGGCCUUGUAAGUCUGUUCUGAAAGCCCGGGGCUCAACCCCGGGAGGCGGAUGGAUACUGCAAGGCUCGAGUACGGAAGAGGCGAGUGGAAUUCCCGGUGUAGCGGUGAAAUGCGCAGAUAUCGGGAGGAACACCAAUGGCGAAGGCAGCUCGCUGGGACGUUACUGACGCUGAGACGCGAAAGCGUGGGGAGCAAACAGG